GACACCCUUAGGUUGACCCCAAAUCAAAAAGUACCCAUUGGGCCAUCACUUUUCAACAGGAUUUUUGAUUCCCAAUGAAUUUGUUCUAAACUCAACUUUCCAGCCACUUUUAACCCCCCCGCCCCCCGCCCCCAGAAUUUGUACACUGUGGCCGAAAUCAUUAUAGUCCAUUUAUUUUCCGGCAAAAUCUGAACCCAAAACCCACACUUUCAAGACAAACAGUGACCGUUAUGGUCCAGAAGAAGCAAAAAAUUGAAGGUGUGAGUGACGAGUUGAACUCAAUUGUCUCACAGAACUUGGACCAUGCUCCUGCCCGUAGAAGAGUGCGAUCGGCUUUCACUAAUAUUCAGCAGCAGCUUGAUCAUAUUUUGUUUAAGAUGGCUCUAGCUGGGAUCAGAACAGAGGAGAUUAUCUUGAAACUUUUUGCUGUUAAUUUAAUUCAAUUUCUUGAUGUAUUUUGUUUGACAUAUCAAUUGAGCAUAAUAGUAUCAAGUUCAAGUUGGUAACUUUGUAUAAUUUUAUGAGGAAGAGGACUUUAACUUAAAAAGAGGAUAAAUAUUCUCCCAAAUUUAACUAUUGAGUGUAUAAAUUGUUUAGUGGUAUGAAAAAAUUUCAAAGGGACAAGAAAUUUUCUGCAAAAGUUGGUUGCCAAAGUCGGGUGUACGAAUCAGAGGGGCAUUGUGUUUUUGUCAUGGAUAUGGUGAUACUUACACUUUUUUCUUUGAAGGCAUAGCCAAGCACAUUGCUUCUUUGGGUUAUGGUGUCUAUGCAAUGGAUCAUCCAAGUUUUGGUCUAUUAGAAGGAUUGCAUGGCUACGUUUCAUCGUUUGAUGGCGUAGUUGAUAAUGUCAUCGCACAAGAUACGAUAAUUAAAGGAAGCUGGAGAUACGAGGUCUCCCUUUAUUCAUUUUUGGACAGUCGAUGGGGGGAGCAAUUGCUCUUAAGGCGAUUCUUAAGGAACCACGUCAAUGGGAUGGCAUAGUCCUUGUAGCCCCAAUAUGUAAAAUUGCAGAGGACAUGACACCACCUGUUUCGCUUCAGAAGGUCUUAAUUUUCUUGUCUAAGAUUAUCCCACAAGCGAAGCUCGUACCCCAGAAAGAUUUGGCAGAUCUGGCAUUCAGAGAAUUGAAGAAAAAAUAAAUGGUUUGUUGUUUAUCUUUUAUAAAAAGUAAUAUAUAUCUUACAGAACAUACAUAAGUCCUAAGGAAUAAGAUGAGAUCAUCGGGAUACUCCACCUCCUUUGCUGUGGAUUCGCUAUUAAUAUCCCUGUGCUUCUCUUGCCUUCCUCUAUGUAACCUAAUAUGUUGACCUAACACCUGAAUUCAUACACUAGGAGAGUAUAAGAGAAAAUACAUAGACUGUCCCACAUCGAAAGAUAAGAGGCUUUCAAGGUAGUUGUGGUCUUGGGGCUAUUCGCUAUUGUGCCCUUCUUGAACUUGAAGUUUUUGGAAUGGAUGUUUUGUGAGCAUCUCGGGAGCCUCUUCGUUUUAGAAGUGGGACAUUCUUUUUGUGUGUUUUAUAAGAUAGCCCAUGUUUAAGCCACAUUAUCUAAAAAUUCAUUUUUUAUUUAUUUAUUAUUUUUUUCAAAUCUCAUUUUCAACUAGACAUUCUCUCCAUAAAUUAUUUUUACACAUAAGCGCAAAACUUUUUAACCACACAUUUUUCAAAAAAUCACUAUUACAAAAUCUACUUCCCCCAAAAAACGGGGCUCAAACAGAGCCUUAGUCCCUAAGAUUGCCCAAAAGGAGAAGUGUUUCUUAAUAUGGGAUAAAGUUUAAGCAAUAUGGCUCAGAAAAUAAAUAAUAUAAAUCUUACGGUAGGCAGAGUAUGCAUGUAAUUGAUAGGCUUUAUUUGUUACCAUAUAACUAUGUGUUCAAUCUUCUAAAGUGGUUGUUGCCUUACCAGUAAUUUCUAGUGAUUUUAUCAAAAACACGUGCCUCUGAAUCGCUUUGUUCAUAUAUGCACAUGUAUACACUCUUAUUUCAGAAAAUUAAUUCUUAGCAUGCAGAGCAGAUUUUCUAACUUUUUUUUGUUUUUGAAAUUACAUUUCAUGUCAUGAUACAGGGUUCAUUUUAUUACUUGUUAUGUAAUGUUAUAUGCGUAAGAAAUUUAUGUUG